GAAACCCAUCCUGUGUCCCUGAGAAUCCAUCCUGCAUCACUGACAUUAGCCAGCAUCCUGGGAAACCCGUCCUUUAUCCCUGAAGAUCCAUCCUGUAUCCCUGACAAUCCAUCCUGCAUCCUGGGAAACCCGUCCUGCAUCCCUGAAAAUCCAUCCUGCAUCCUGGGAAACCCAUCCUACAUCCCUGACAUCAACCAGCAUCCUGGGAAAUCCAUCCUGCAUCCCUGGCAAUCCAUCCUGCACCCUGGGAAACCUGUCCUGCAUCCCUGACAUCAACCAGCAUCCUGGGAAACCCAUCCUGUAUCCCUGAGAAUCCAUCCUGUAUCCCUGACAAUCCAUUCUGCAUCCUGGGAAACACAUCCUGCAUCCCUGGCAAUUCAUCCUGUACCCCUGACAAUCCAUCCUGCAUCCUGGGAAACCUGUCCUGCAUCCCUGGCCAUCUAUCCUGCAUCCUGUUCCCAUUUCAAAGUUGGCAGGCCUUGCAAGUGGCAGUGGGGAGAAGCAAAAGGGUCAGAGGUCUUCAAAUGAUGAUUUUGAAUGGAAUUUGGCCUUACUGACUCAAUCAUGUUAAAGGAAGAGAUGAAUCCUGUAAUCCACGAGGAAGAUGAGCCCUGUUUAACAGCUCGGACUGCUGACCUUUAAAAUGUUUUUACCACACCUUUGCAAGCAAACCAAGUACACCUGAGACUGGCCCUGAACUGUGGCCUUGCCUGGGCUUGUUUUGACCCAAGGGCAGGACCCAGCACUUGGUCCUGUUGACCCUCAGUCCAUGGAUCCAGCCUGUCCAGGUCCCUCUGCAGAGCCUUCCUGCCUUCCAGCAGAUCCAAGUAUUUCACUAGAAUUAUGAAAUAAAUCAGAGAAAUGCUAAUAGCUGUCAUUAGGUGAAUCUUAUGUGACGAUUAUAGCAAAUCUAAUCAAAUAAAAUGGAUGUAAUAAGAGGUAAAAUUAAAGAAAAAUGUUUCCAUCUGCAUGGUAGACAGCUGUGUGUAGUGAAAGCUCUGCUGAAGACAGGUUGAGUGGAUUGUAGAAAAUGUUAAAAUAAUUUGUAGCAGAGUCUAUAGAAAAUAGCUUAUCAAAGUCAGCAGGAAGCUUGGGGAAGUAUUGAUAAGAGCAUGAGAAUACAUGGAGAUACAUUUGAUCUUCUUGAUGACAGAAAUAGUCAACUACUGUUCCUUUCAGACCUUUAGAUGCAUUUUUAUGAAUAAAUAACAUUCCUUAAAAGAAAUAUACAUCCCUUAUGACAUCAGUAUUUGAGUCAAAUAGAAAUAAAUCCACAACUCUGAAUUUUGGGAGACAAUAAUUUUCUGUAUGCUGAGAGACAAAUGUAUACUACUUUGUGGUUUCCAAACAAGUGAAAUAAAUUACAGCACAAUUUU